rnacentral:SRP_RNA from 1 species
GCCAUGCACGGUGGCACGUGCCUGUAGUCCCAGCUACUCGAGAGGCUGAGGUGGGAGGAUUGCUUGAGCCCAGGAGUUCUGGGCAGUAGUGCGCUAUGCCAAUCAGGUGUCUGCACUAACUUCAGCAUCAAUAUGGUGACCUCCCAGGAGCAGGGUACCACCAGGUUGCCCAGGUCGGAAACGGAGCAGGUCAAAACUCCUGUGCUCAUCAGUAGUGGGAUCGUGCCUGUGAGUAGCCACUGCACUCCAGCCUGGACAACAUACUGAGACCCCGUCUCUA